GACGUAGGGGGCGAGCGUUGUCCGGAAUCACUGGGCGUAAAGAGCACGUAGGCGGGAUAUUAAGUCAGGUGUGAAAGACCGUGGCUCAACCACGGGGUUGCAUUUGAAACUGAUAUUCUUGAGGGCAGGAGAGGACAGUAGAAUUCCUGGUGUAGCGGUGAAAUGCGUAGAAAUCAGGAGGAAUACCGGUGGCGAAGGCGACUGUCUGGACAGUAACUGACGCUGAGGCACGAAAGCGUGGGGAGCAAACAGG
rnacentral:rRNA from 1 species